rnacentral:rRNA from 1 species
CAUGCAAGUCGAGCGGUAACAGAGAGUAGCUUGCUACUUUGCUGACGAGCGGCGGACGGGUGAGUAAUGCUUGGGAACAUGCCUUGAGGUGGGGGACAACAGUUGGAAACGACUGCUAAUACCGCAUAAUGUCUACGGACCAAAGGGGGCUUCGGCUCUCGCCUUUAGAUUGGCCCAAGUGGGAUUAGCUAGUUGGUGAGGUAAUGGCUCACCAAGGCGACGAUCCCUAGCUGGUUUGAGAGGAUGAUCAGCCACACUGGGACUGAGACACGGCCCAGACUCCUACGGGAGGCAGCAGUGGGGAAUAUUGCACAAUGGGCGCAAGCCUGAUGCAGCCAUGCCGCGUGUGUGAAGAAGGCCUUCGGGUUGUAAAGCACUUUCAGUCAGGAGGAAAGGUUAACGGUUAAUACCCGUUAGCUGUGACGUUACUGACAG